GAUGAACGCUGGCGGCGUGCCUAACACAUGCAAGUCGAGCGAACAAACGAGGAGCUUGCUCGUCUGACGUUAUGGGCGGGUGGGUGAUGAACACGUGGAUAACCUACCUAUAAGAAUGGCAUAACUACGGGAAACCGGAGCUAAUACCGGAUAAUAUAUUGAACCGCAUGGAUCAUUGGUCAUAGACGGUUUUGCUGUCACUUAUAGAUGGACCCGCGUCGCAUUAGCUAGUUGGUAAGGUAACGGCAUACCAAGGCGACGAUGCGUAGCCGACCUGAGAGGGUGGUCGGCCACACUGGAACUGAGACACGGUCCAGACUCCUACGGGAGGCAGCAGUAGGGAAUCUUACGCAAUGGGCGAAAGCCUGAUGCAGCAACGCCGCGUGAGUGAUGAAGGUCUUCGGAUCGUAAAGCUCUGUUAGUAGGGAGGAAGAAAUGUGUAUGUAUCUCUGCGCGUCUUGACGGUACCUAGAGAAGAAGCCCCGGCUAACUACGUG
rnacentral:rRNA from 1 species